GUUUAUUUUGUUUGUUUAUUUAUGUAUUUAUUUAUUUAUGUAAUCCCUGCAGGAUAAUUCUAAGUUGGUUUACUGACAACUAUACGCGAUAUUAAGCACCAUACUAUAUCUCAGCAACAUGCAUAUGUUUGAAUGGAGUUCAUGAAAGGUCUUUGAGGAAUCAUCACACUGUCUUCCACAAUGGUUGAGUGAAUUUACACUUCCAGCAAUAGUGU
rnacentral:lncRNA from 1 species